rnacentral:tRNA from 1 species
AAGAUGAAUAUUACAUGAUCCAACAUCAUAAUCAUACCUUUUUGUCGGUUUGAUUGGUAUUGCUUAGAAAUAA